CAUCUAAUCAUAGUCCCUCUUUAUCCACAUGUUAAUUUUGCUACUUUAGGAGGGUCUGAUAACAUUAAAAAGUUCAAUAAAAAUGACAAGGUUCAUAUCAUGUGCUAUUCUCAAUAGCAUGAUUAAAUCUCAUGCCACUAUGAUCCAUCAUUUAUCUCAAUUUAUUGCAUCAUAUAGCUGUUGUGUGCUGUCACAUCAUGACAAGGUGAGUACAAUAACAACAGCACCAUUCAGAGAAAGGGAGCACCUUCACAGGGCACUGAUCAACCAUGUUAACAAACAUUUCAGUAUUAAGUAAUAGUAUGAACCUUUACCUGCACAUAAUAUAUCAAUUCAAUUUUUCAUAGGUAUAUAUGAAUAUAAAAUACUAUAUGUGUGUAUAUGUAUGUGUUUUAUUACUAUCUACUGUUGAAAGCAUACAUUGGGCACAUGAAAUCAUAUCCUCAUCAGAUAAGGGGACAUUAGUCUAUUUUAAAAAUUUUAGCACAGAGGUACACAAUUCCUAUCGGUCUGGUUUGUCACAUCAGGAAAAAAAGAGUAAAGAGUUUUCUGGAAGAAACAUAUGACUGGCCAACUUGUCAAAUGAAAAACAGCAUGCCCAUUGCCCAAGAACAACACUCUUCCACUCCCAUGUCUAACUCACACACAUCUUGAAAACUCUAUCUUUGCCCCAGGGUAAUACCUUGGUUUCACAUGGAGUGUGGUUGAACUUCAGAAGGAAUAAACCUGGAGCAGGUGUAAAUUUGUGAAAGGAAAGUGCAUUUCUGGGAAAUUUAGGAUUGACUCUAGGAAAGACUGAGUAGGUGGGUGGUAAAUAAGGUGAGGUAAAGAGACAGAUUCAAAUGGCAAAGAGAACACAAACAUCACCAGACAGCACCAGGAGACAAGCGUCACCUGGGACCGUAAGAGAAUUACUGAGGCUCAAGGAACAGGGGAGAGUUUAUGUUUGAUAAGUGGUUUCCCAGACCAAUUUAAUUACAUUUAAGUAUUUAUUUGUAGACUUGUUCAUAUUCUCAAAGAUACUUUUUGUCCAUUUUUAAAUCCACAUAAAGUGUCUUAACAUUUCCCUUCUCUACCUUAUCAGGUAACAUAAUAUGAAUCAUGAAUUGUUACAAAGACAUGUUCUAAGAUUUGGAUUCAACAUUCUUGUCUUAAUCUAUAAAUGUUGUCGUGAUGUAGAUGAAUCACAUCUUCAAGAUGAAGGCAAACUGGAGGCUACAGCGAAAGAGGAAUCAAUCUCCUUUGGAGCUUUCUCAGCAGCAGUCUUCCCAUAGGUGGCCUCCAGCUGGAGAGAACACCAACAGAGUGAGUGUGAACAGUGCAAAGCUGGAGAGUGCUGAAGGCUAGAGACUCAUAUGCAGAAGCCAUGCAGAAGGCAGAAGCCACAGCCAUUGAGUGCCUAACUCCUUUCUGAGGAUCUGGUUCACCAUGGCACACCAUUUCUGCAGUCAAUCUUGCCCUCUACAUUGGGAACAUGUUUAACUGUCUGAAUGUGGAUGUUUCUUUUGAUCUUGGAUGAAGCAGGUGUCAUAACUGAUGUCACAGCAAUGGAAGAGCUAACACACCCAGCCACCCAGCAAGUAACAGAAUAGAAAAACAAAGAAAAAAAAUGCACUAAACAGCAACAUAGGAACAAAAUACAAAAUUAUGUUUCUAUUAGAAUAACACCCACUAUGAAUUUGCUUUUUUCAGAAGAGAAUAUUUUAGCCCCUGUUCGCCCCAGGGCCGCCCCACAAGUGCCUCCGGGCAGCGCGCGCCCGCGGACCUCAACC
rnacentral:lncRNA from 1 species